CCUCAGAGUAGAAGCGGUCAGAACCAGUGCGGUUCGGGACAUUGCUCGGCAA
rnacentral:ncRNA from 1 species